CUCAGCAGUAUCCCCUCGGCCGCCGCCCCCCGCGCGGCCCAGGCCCUCUGAUCCCGCGGGCGACGGUGGCGCGUCGGAGUCCGAAUCCUCCACGUGUGACAUGGAGCUAGCGGUGCCAGACGGGCUGCAGGGAGGCUGGGCGCGGGCCUCACUCAUGUCCAGCAUCGGGGCCACGCGCGGAGGGGCACUCAGUGGGGAUGGACGCAGGGGUCGCGCCCGGUCACUCUGUGGAAGGACACUCUAGAAUCCAAGGUUGCCACGCAGGACCCAAUCUUUGUCCUCACCGCAGGGGCCCAGCAGCAGCUCCUCCGCCGCAGUAGCUCAGUCUCAGUUCUGGGACCCGCAACAAGUUUCUUUAAGCCGUGGUCGAAACCCCGCCCCUCCCGGUCCGGGUUGGCAGGUCCUCCCCAGGCGGAGCUUGUAUGCCCCGCCCCGAAUCCAAAGAAGCCUUGCGACCCCGCUCCACCCUCCGUACCACGUGGGCCAGGCGCCCCGCAGCCUGAUCCCUCGGCUGAGGCGGGGUCAGAGGGCUAAGGGUGACUGACUGCCCAGUGCAUGGAUCUCAGCAGCACGGCUUGACUUUCGGGCGGCAGGCAAGGAUGCUAAUCCACAAGGUUCCUGAGUCCAACAUCCCUCCCUCCAAUGUGGGGCUCGAAUCCGCUAUUGCAACCAAACCCGGGUUCUGCCCGCAGGGUGGCGCAAUGACAAGAGCCACCAGGUGACCCUGGUAACUCCCGCACCUAGACCUACAGGAGCAGUUUUUCUGCAGCACCACAUCUGUAGCCCUGCAUGCCGCUGGCUCCAGUGUUGUGUGUGUGGUCAUGCUCCAUCCAGCCCAGCAGCAACUUUGGUGUUUGACACCCCUCGGGAGGCACCGCUUUGGAAGAGACUGGUAACAGCAGGGUGGGACCGGCUACUUAGCUGUUCUCAGUCUGAAAGGAUUCUGGAAAGGGGCUCUAUUUAACCCAAGCACUGGAGUCCAACACAGCCUCUGCCGUGUGACAGGUGUGUGCGGAGCCCAAGAUGUGUUGGGAACAGCUAUCGUUUCUACUGCUUUGUCCCAUGCCUCUGGAGCUCCUGGGUUCCUGAACUUCAAGCUGGGCCCCAUCCUUCACCCUAUCAGGGCCCUGGGUGGAGCUGACUUCCAACAGUAUACAGUGGGUCUUGGUACUUCCUCCUUGGCAUUCGACAGUUGGUGUUUUUGAAGUCAGAGCCAUCCUCAGUAGGCUCCUAGGGGAUCGUAAGCGGCUUUCUCUGGGUGGAAACCUACUCCAUGCAGCCUUCAGCAAAGGUACCAGCAUCUGUCACUGGGAUGGGGAAGUCCGGUGAUCGUGUCAGCAUGGGCUACGGUGGACGGGGAAAGGCUCGUUCUGACACUAGACACCUGGGUCUCUAGCCCUAUGCCUGGAUUUGUCUGGGGAACUCUGCACCACACUGAUCCUGGCUUUCCCCAUUACCUGCUCCAUGCCAGGAUCCUACGGCUGUUGAUCCCCUCGGAAGUGAGACAUAAUGUCCCGGAGCAGAUGCUGAUGGGGACUCACUGUUGGGCCACCUGAUUUCUGUGUUCAUCUUCCCAGGCUCCACCUUUCAGAUCCCAUCCCUGGUGUCUGCAGUUACAACUUUACUAACCAGAACUUUGUUUCCAGCUUACGCUGAAAAGCAAAGGGUGACUUAGAAUAAAAAUGUAACAAAUAGCCCCAUAGCCCAAACCUUUUCUGCCAUGAUUUACUGUACCAGAUACCUAUAAGUGUCCAGGGCAAAUUAAACACAUCAAUAAAUGGCUUUCUUGUGUCUGUCCUGCA
rnacentral:lncRNA from 1 species